GUUGAGUUGAGUUGAGUUGUGUUAGGGUCUCAUUGGUAAGUGCUACAAGAUCUCAUACAUUGGAACCUGUGGUUAUGGACCCGAAUCGAUUAGUAUGGAACAUAUUAUUUUCCAAGUGAAAUCCCCUAGUAUAUGAAAGAGUAAAACGGUUCUUUCAUUAUUGUGGAAUAAGAAGCCUUCAUAUCUUAAUGCAUGUAUUUAAUU
rnacentral:misc_RNA from 1 species